CACGCCCUAAACGAUGUCUACUAGUUGUCGGGUCUUAAUUGACUUGGUAACGCAGCUAACGCGUGAAGUAGACCGCCUGGGGAGUACGGUCGCAAGAUUAAAACUCAAAGGAAUUGACGGGGACCCGCACAAGCGGUGGAUGAUGUGGAUUAAUUCGAUGCAACGCGAAAAACCUUACCUACCCUUGACAUGGAAGGAAUCCCGAAGAGAUUUGGGAGUGCUCGAAAGAGAACCUUUACACAGGUGC
rnacentral:rRNA from 1 species